UGAUGCUGAGCAUCUUUUCAUGUACAUUUUGGCCAUUCAUGUGUCUUCCUUGGAAAAGUAUCUGUUCAGAUCCUCUGCACAUUUUAAAAAUCAGAUUGUUUUGCUAUUAAGUUAUACGGGUUCUUAGUAUUUAUUGGAUAUUAACCUCUCAUCAGAUAUUUACAAAUAUAUUUUUUUCUAUUUAAUAUCUUGCCUUUUCAUUCUGCUUAUGGUUUCUUUUGCUGUGUAAAAACUUUUUUGUUGGAUGUAGUCCCACUUGUUUAUUUUUGCUUUUGUUGCCUUUGCUUUUGGAGACAGAUCCAGAAACUCAUUGCCAAGACCAACGUCAAGGAGCUUACCAACUACAUAUAGUUCUAGGAGUCUUAUGGUUUUAGGUCUUACAUUCAAGCCUUUAAUCCAGUUUAAGCUGAUUUCUGUGUAUGGUGUAAGAUAGUGGGCUAGUUUUGUUCUUUUGCAUGUGGCUGUUCAGUUUUCCUACCAUGAUUUAUUGAAAAGACCACCCUUUCCCCAUUGUGUAUUCUUGGUUCCUUUGUCUUAAGUUGAUUGAUUAUAUAAGUGGGGAUUUAUUUCUGGGCUUUCUAUUUUGUUUCUUUGAUCUAUGUGUCUGUUUUUAUGCCUCUGACAAACUGUUUUGAUUACUAUAGCUCUGUAAUGUUGUUUGAAACCAGGAGGGGUAAGGCUCCCAGCUUUGUUCUUCUCAAGAUUGCUUUUAUGUAUUCAUACGCACGUUAGGAUUGCUUCUUCUAUUUCUGCGAAAAAUGUUUUGGGAAUGUUGAUAGGGAUUACAUUGAAUCUGUAAAUUAUUUUGGCCGGUGUGGACAUUUUAACAAUAUUAAUUCUUCCAAUUCAUAAACAUGGAAUAUCUUUCCAUUUAUUUGUGAAUUCUUUGAUUUCUUUCAUCAGAGUGUUACAGUUUUCAGUGUACAGGUCUCCCACCACCAGGACCUACUUUCUUUUCUCUUGGCACCUGUCUGAGCUGUGGUGCCAGCUCCUGGCAGGGACUGGUUCCCACCUGGGCUAUAGGGUGUUUCCACUACCUCCUAAGCAGAAAGUUGGGAAGAGAUGCUGCCUUCAGCUCCCUCCUGGAGGCUGGAGGGUGUAGGCUCAGGGAUCAGGACACAAGCCACCUGGCAGGGGCCAUUUGGCACCGAUGCUCCAGGGUAUGGGCAGCUGAGCCAGGUGCUCUAAAAUCUUGUACGUAGUGCCAAGCCCUACCCUCAAGGAGUUUAUAUGUCAAAUGUCUUAGUUAUGUUACUGUUCCUCCCUGGGCUCCUCUCCCUCUGAGUGUGGCUGCUACUUGUUGUUACUAAGAGAUGAGAUCCUCUUUGUUUAGGGAAGGUCUUAGCACUGGACUUGGGGGAUCACAAGGAUUGAAUGGAACCCCAGGUCUGCCACUAAAUAAGCGUGUGGUCUUGAGCUAGUUAUUUGGUCUCUCUGAGACCCGGUUUUCUCAUCUGUGAAAUGAGAAGGAUAAUACCACCCCACGAGAUGGUUCUGAGGCUGUAACGUGAAGAUGCACAGAAAGCAUUUGAGAGCCACAGAGCAGUGGGUAUGUGAGAUGAGAUGCUGCCAUUCUUAGGGCAGAGACAAGGAGCAGAAGAGCCAAUCAGAUAGAUUGGCUACAACCCCUUGUCUCCUCUGUCUUUCCACACCUGCUCCUGGUCAGCAUCUCCAGCUGGUGCCGUGGACAUGAGCCCUUCCAGGUCCCGAACAGGCCUGUUCUCCUGUCUGAGCUGUGGCACCAGCUCCUGGCAGGGACUGGUUCUUCUUGAUGCUCUGGCCUUUUCAGUCCCCUCCUUUCUCCUCAAACUUACCUAUUCUCUGCUUCAGUCCUUUACAUUCCUGUGCCUCCAAUUAUUUCUUCUUGUAACAGACAAGUGUUUAUCGAGUGUCCUGAAGAAGGAAGCCUGGUGUAUUAGAAAGCACAUGACUUUGCACCUUUUGCCUUCCCCCCACCAGCCACGACUUUAGGCAAGUCCCUGGCAUUCCCUGAGCUUCCACUUCCUAAAAUAGAAAAUGGAGAUGACACCUAUGUCACAGGGUUGUUAGGAGGAUGCUGGGUGAUAAUGUGUGUGAAAACCAAAGCCAGGUGCUCAAUAAGCGUAGCUUCCUCCACAGCCUGUUUACUGUCAAUCAGAUAAACUUACCAAGUACCAAAGCAGUGGGAUAAUGAAGACUUACUAGGCUGCUCCUUUAUUUUUAUGUCUUUUUUUUUUUUUUUUUUUUCCUGAGAGUCAGACUCUCAACAUAUGGAAGUUCCCAGGCUAGGGGUCUAAUUGGAGCUGUAGCCAUGGGCCUACAUCACAGCCACAACAACGCAGGAUCCAAGCUGUGUCUUGGAUCUACACCACAACUCAGGGUGACGCCAGAUCCUUAACCCACUGAAUGGGGCCAGGGAUUCGAACCCACAUCUUCAAGGAUAUUAGUAGGGUUCAUUACCAUAAGCCACAGCGGGAACCCCUAGGCUGCUCUUUUAAAAAUAAAAGCAAAACAAAAACCCAGGCAUUUUAAUGGGAUCCUGGGAUCCACUGCAGAUCCUGGCCUACAAAAGCUGCUUGAAUAUUUGACCGAGCCACCAAGGCCACUCCUGGAUCUGAGCCAUGUCUGUGACCUACACCACAGCUCAUGGCAACGCCGGAUCCUUAACCCACUGAGCGAGGCCAGGGAUCGAACCCGCAACCUCAUGGUUCCUAGUCGGAUUCACUAACCACUGUGCCACGAUGGGAACUCCCAGAGUGGGAAGUAUUGAGAAAGAAGAAAUAGUAGAACUGGGUAGGUUGGAUCAGAGCGCCCGAUGGGGCAAGGGGAAGAGGCUGAACUGUUAAACAGGGUGUUCUGAGAAGCCUCCUUGAAAAGGUGAGAUUUAGCCAAGACUCAAAGACAGGGGACACGAUGUGGAGCUCACCUGCCCAGCUUGGGUGUGGGGUGGAGGAGCCAGGGGAAGGAGGCAGAUAGGGUGGCUGUGGAGAUCACCACAAGGACUUCAGCUUUUACUCUGGGAGAUGAGGGCAGCCACCAGUGGUUUUGAGGAGACAUCCAUCAGGAGAAGUAAUUCUCAUCUGCCAUGACACUUUGGGUAAAUCAGAUCAUCCUUCUGGCUGCACUUGCCUCAGGAGUAGGAUGACAUGCGUGAGAUGGUUGGCUUGGACAUUGCCAACCAUUCUCAACCCAGAGGUGUUAGAUGCAGACCAAAUCGAGCAAACUUCAUCAGUUCCUCUGUUCCCCAUAGGAAGUGCCAUGCUCCCUGGCGCAUGCUCAGUUUUCUGUCCUUUCCCCGUUGGCCCCAGAGGCAUUCCGGGUCCCCAGGUGCAUCUGGAAGUGAGAGCCCGUUGUGCCAGGAGAAUCGGCUGAGUUUCCUGCCACACCCAUGGGAGCUGAGUACAACUCCUCCAAGGCAAUCACCUUUCCUGGCAGGGACCAGCAGUAGAGCCGUUUCCCAUGGCGAGGCAAGCCUGUGGCCUGCCCCCAGCAACCCCUGCCAUGCUGGCGGGAUUAGGAGAGGAGAGAAAACGAGUGACAGGCCUGGACGGGCCCCUCUGGGAGGGAAACAGGUAGUGUCCCUUCCUGGGCAGUGUGGUGGGAUUGGGGUACAGCAUCGGCAAUGGGCAUCUGUUUCACGCUGAGGGUACCAGACACAAGCACCUCAGCCAGGAGAGAGCGGGCUUCCUCGCCUGAUUGCAGCGAGCAGCUGCCAGAGACUCUUUCAAUACAGGAUUGUCAGGAGGAAUUUCCCUUUUUGUCAGAAGGAGUAUGAAAGCAAGAGCGGGGCUCAGGGCCCCUUCUCCUUCUCUGUCUCCUUGCCCAGCGCUGUCUAUGAUUCCGUGUGCUUCAGGCCUUCAACCAACCAUCACCUUCCCUCAUCCUCCAUCCCCAGCCAGCAGGUCCCAUUCGCCAAAUUUCCAGAGCUGGAAAUAAACCCAACCUAGAGACUUGUUGGAAAUAAAAAAAUGUCAUCCAGCCAAGCGCUUUCAAUUGCACAGCCUUCAGUGGGCAUGGCUGCUGGGCUGCACGAGAAUAGAAUCAAGUUGUAGGAACAGGUUACCUGCUGAGAUGGGUGCACUUGUGGCUUUCCACCAGCACAGGCCAACAUCUUUGCCAGGGGUAUUUCGAAAAUCCGGUUGGUUAUUGGAGUUCCCGUCGUGGCUCAGCAGUAACGAACCCGACUGGUAUCCACGAGGAUGUGGAUUCAAUCCCUGGCCUUGCUCAGUGGGUUAAGGAUCCCACAUUGCCAUGGCUAUAGAGUAGGCCAGCAGCUGUAGCUCCGAUUGGACCCCUAGCCUGGGAACCUUCAUGUGCUAAGGGUGCAACCCUAAAAAGCACCCCCCACCCCCAAAAAAUAAAAUCAGGUUUUUGGAGUUCUCCUGUGGAGCAGUGGGUUAAAGAUCCAGCAUUGUCCCUGUAGUGGCUUGGGUUGCUCCUGUGGCAUGGGUUCCAUCCUUGGCCUGGGGACUUCCACAUGCCACAGCUAUGG
rnacentral:lncRNA from 1 species